rnacentral:rRNA from 1 species
UACGUAGGGGGCGAGCGUUGUCCGAAGUUGACUGGGCGUAAAGCGCACGUAGGCGGCCCUGUAAAGUUACAUCUGAAAGGUGACAGCUCAACUGAUCAAUGGUGGUGUAAGACUGCAGAACUUGAGGUGAGCAAAAGAAUGUGGAACUCCGAGUGUAGCGGUGGAAUGCGUAGACGAUUCGGAAGAACACCCAUGGCGAAGGCAGCAUUCUGGGCUCAACCUGACGGCUGAGGAGCGAAAGCCAGGGGAGCCGAACGGG